AAGAGAGUUACUGCUUGCUCUUCAGUUUCCCAGGUCCUCCGUGUGUGCUUUGAAGCAAUAUGAAUGUGUCGUCUAAAGAAUCAUUGACUUUGAAAGCAUCAGCUGAGACAGUGACUCACAAAUAUCCAC
rnacentral:lncRNA from 1 species